rnacentral:sRNA from 1 species
UGAGGCAAGAGGGAGGGAGCAGGCAGCGGGCUGGGGCUGGGCGGGGGCCCACACUUGCCUGGCUGUGCUGUGGACAGCCUGGGCAGCGAGGACCCCUGCAGAGGCCCCUGGGGCCAAAGGGGCAGUGCCCAGUCUGGCAGAAAUAAGAGGGAGACCCAAAGAAAUGGCGGCCUUAGAGACAACAGCUUAGGAACCGACUCUGAAGAAGAGAAACCACAGAGGGCUGGCCCGGGUCGGAGUCUGAACUCAACGACGUUUGCAAAUCCCACACAGACGCUCAGCCUACCUCCAAGGGGAUGACGAAGCCAGAUGCGUGGCCAGCAUUUUUCCAGUAGUUGAGGGAGAGUGGGGUAGAGAGGCUGUAAGAGCCAGAGACGGUAGAGGAAUCCGAAGGAAACUGAAGUUUCCAGACUCGACAAGGAGACGCACCUAUGACUGUGACAACACGCAUAACACCUGCACAAGCUCAAGCCAGAUCAAAACCCCAUCGUGCAGAGGGUAAAGUGGGCACACAUCCCCACUCCUCACCAAGAGGUGACUGGCAACUGGUACUGGAGGGAGAGGGGAAAUCGGUUUUCAUCAUUGGAGUGACAUCGGGUGGGUCAACCACACUCAAGAGCUCAGAAAGAGUUGGCCAACACAAAUCUAACUCCAAGGUCUUGUUCGUUUUGAAACAGGAUGACUCUGUGUAGCUGUAGCGCUGGCUUGCCUGGAACUCUGUAGACCAGGCUGGCCUGGAACUCACAGAGCCGCUGCCUGCCUCCUGAGUGCUGGGAUUAAAAGCGUGCACCGCCACCUCCGCUUCCACCACUACCUCAGCUUGCUCUGUUGUGUGUGUCUAUGUGUGUGUGUGUGUGUGUGUGUGUGUGUGUGUGUGUGAGAGAG